UCAGACGAUGCGUCAUGCAUAUCAAUAAGCGGAGGAAAAGAAACUAACAAGGAUUCCCUCAGUAACGGCGAGUGAAGCGGGAAGAGCUCAAAUUUGAAAUCUUGAAAGGUCACCUUUCACGAAUUGUAGUUUAAAGAAGUGUUUUCUGUUACGAUCGUAAUAUAAGUUCUUUGGAAUAGGACAUCACAGAGGGUGAGAAUCCCGUCUAUGAUUGCGAUUUGUAGCUUUGUGAUACACUUUCAAAGAGUCGGGUUGUUUGGGAAUGCAGCCCAAAACGGGAGGUAAAUUUCUUCUAAGGCUAAAUAUUGGCGAGAGACCGAUAGCGAACAAGUACCGUGAGGGAAAGAUGAAAAGAACUUUGAAAAGAGAGUUAAAUAGUACGUGAAAUUGUCAAAAGGGAAGCGUUUAACACCAGUGUUGUUUUCUGAAAAUCAACCUCUGUCAGCUUUAUGCAUGUUUGUUUAGACCUAAUCAGCUAUCUUGCAUGUUCUAUUGUUUGCAGUGGUGCACUUUUCAGUUUACAGGUCAACAUCAGUUUUUUUUACCGUAAAAAAGUUAAAGAAAGGUAGCUCAUGGCUCCGGUCGUGAGUGUUAUAGUCUUUUUCCUAUGCGGUAGGAGAGACUGAGGUCUGCAGUGUAGGCUAUUUGGCUAGAUACUCAGGUGCUAUGUGAUACCAUUUCAUAAACAACUUGUUGAUUAUGUUUUGUCUAUUGCAUACUCGCUUGUACUAUCAUACCUACGCUUAGGAUGUUGAAGACUCUACAGAGAUA
rnacentral:rRNA from 1 species